CCGAAAGAUUUGGGUGUGCCCGAAAGGGAAUCGGAACACAGGUGCUGCAUGGCUGUCGUCAGCUCGUGUCGUGAGAUGUUGGGUUAAGUCCCGCAACGAGCGCAACCCUUGUCAUUAGUUGCUCCAUUCAGUUGAGCACUCUAAUGAGACUGCCGGUGACAAACCGGAGGAAGGUGGGGAUGACGUCAAGUCCUCAUGGCCCUUAUGGGUAGGGCUUCACACGUAAUACAAUGGCGCGUACAGAGGGCUGCGAAGGGGCGACCUGGAGCCAAUCCCGACAAAGCGCGUCGUAGUCCGGAUUGCAGUCGGCAACUCGACUGCAUGAAGUCGGAAUCGCUAGUAAUCGCGGAUCAGCAUGUCGCGGUGAAUACGUUCCCGGGUCUUGUACACACCGCCCGUCACACCAUGGGAGUGGGUUUCACCAGAAGCCGGUCGCUUAACCCGCAAGGGAUGGCGCCGACCACGGUGAGAUUCAUGACUGGGGUGAAGUCGUAACAAGGUAACCGU
rnacentral:rRNA from 1 species